GAUGAACGCUGGCGGCGUGCCUAAUACAUGCAAGUCGAGCGAAUGGAUUAAGAGCUUGCUCUUAUGAAGUUAGCGGCGGACGGGUGAGUAACACGUGGGUAACCUGCCCAUAAGACUGGGAUAACUCCGGGAAACCGGGGCUAAUACCGGAUAACAUUUUGAACCGCAUGGUUCGAAAUUGAAAGGCGGCUUCGGCUGUCACUUAUGGAUGGACCCGCGUCGCAUUAGCUAGUUGGUGAGGUAACGGCGCACCAAGGCAACGAUGCGUAGCCGACCUGAGAGGGGGAUCGGCCACACUGGGACUGAGACACGGCCCAGACACCUACGGGAGGCAGCAGUAGGGACUCUUCCGCAAUGGACGAAAGUCUGACGGAGCAACGCCGCGUGAGUGAUGAAGGCUUUCGGGUCGUAAAACUCUGUUGUUAGGGAAGAACAAGUGCUAGUUGAAUAAGCUGGCACCUUGACGGUACCUAACCAGAAAGCCACGGCUAACUACGUGCCAGCCGCCGCCGUAA
rnacentral:rRNA from 1 species